rnacentral:rRNA from 1 species
AGGGUUUGAUCCUGGCUCAGAACGUACGCUGGCGGCACGCCUAAUACAUGCAAGUCGAACGAAGUAGCAAUACUUAGUGGCAGACGGGUGAGUAACAUGUGGGUAUCUUCCCUAUGGUGAGGAAUAACACGAGGAAACUUGUGCUAAUACCUCAUAAGUCUUUACGGAGAAAGCUUUAUGCGCCAUUGGAUGAGCCCGCACUUGAUUAGUUUGUUGGUGGGGUAAUGGCCUACCAAGACUUUGAUCAAUAGCUGAUUUGAGAGGAUGAUCAGCCACAUUGGGACUGAGACACGGCCCAAACUCCUACGGGAGGCAGCAGUAGGGAAUCUUGCACAAUGGAGGAAACUCUGAUGCAGCGAUGCCGCGUGAGUGAAGAAGGCCCUUGGGUUGUAAAGCUCUUUCGUCGGGGAAGAAAAUGACUGUACCCGAAUAAGAAGGUCCGGCUAACUUCGUGCCAGCAGCCGCGGUAAUACGAAGGGACCUAGCGUAGUUCGGAAUUACUGGGCUUAAAGAGUUCGUAGGUGGUUAAAAAAGUUGGUGGUGAAAUCCCAGAGCUUAACUCUGGAACUGCCAUCAAAACUUUUUAGCUAGAGUAUGAUAGAGGAAAGCAGAAUUUCUAGUGUAGAGGUGAAAUUCGUAGAUAUUAGAAAGAAUACCGAUUGCGAAGGCAGCUUUCUGGAUCAUUACUGACACUGAGGAACGAAAGCAUGGGUAGCGAAGAGGAUUAGAUACCCUCGUAGUCCAUGCCGUAAACGAUGUGUGUUAGACGUUGGAAAUUUAUUUUCAGUGUCGCAGCGAAAGCAAUAAACACACCGCCUGGGGAGUACGACCGCAAGGUUAAAACUCAAAUGAAUUGACGGGGACCCGCACAAGUAGUGGAGCAUGUGGUUUAAUUCGAAGAUACGCGCAGAACCUUACCAACACUUGACAUGUUCGUCGCGACUUUAAGAGAUUAAAGUUUUCGGUUCGGCCGGACGAAACACAGGUGCUGCAUGGCUGUCGUCAGCUCGUGUCGUGAGAUGUUGGGUUAAGUCCCGCAACGAGCGCAACCCUCACUUUUAGUUGCCAUCAUUUAGUUGGGCACUCUGAAAGAACUGCCAGUGAUAAGCUGGAGGAAGGUGGGGAUGACGUCAAGUCCUCAUGGCCCUUACGUGUUGGGCUACACACGUGCUACAAUGGUAUCUACAA